UCAACUCCCCGACACACACACACCACACACACAGCCCCCACACUCACACACCACCCCCGCUGCACACACACACACCCGACCGGACCCCCCCGCCCGGCCGCCACCCUUCUGCCUGGUCAGAGCCAAUCAGAAGAGAGAGGUGAGAGCCAAUCAGAAGAGAGCAGAGUGGACUACAAGCGAAAUCAAAGCCCCUUCAGGCCCAGAAAAGCGAGCUGGCGCCACCUAGUGGCUUUGACUCCCCUCUGCUGCCCAGAGAGCCAGCCGGUGCAAGGACCCAGAAAGAUGUAACAAAGCAGAGCUGAGCAACAGUCUUGCCAAGCUGAGGAACACGUGUGUGUGUGUGUGCAGAGGAACACAAGCAUGUGUGUGUGUGUGUGUGUGCGGAGGAACAUGCGCUGUGUGUGUGUGUGUACAGAGGAAUACAAGCUGUGUGUGUGUGUGCAUGUGUGUUUUGCCGGACAGAUUAAAUAAAUUUUAGAAUGUUUGAUUAGAACAAUUGUGAAUGAGUUUAUGUAUGCGUUGUGCGUGUGUGUGAGGAGUGUGUGUGUAUGUAUGUGGUGUGCAUGGGUGUGGGUUUACAGCAGCUUAGCAUACAAUGUGACUCGACUCUGAUGACACAACAUGACUGCUGCUUUAGCAAAAGUCCAUUACACUAGGCGUGUUCGUCUUCAUGCAGAUCUGUGCAGAUCUGACUUGAUGUGAUGCAUGCUGGGUUGAACACAUUGGAGCUC